UGCGCAGGCGGUUUUGUAAGUCAGAUGUGAAAUCCCCGGGCUCAACCUGGGAACUGCGUUUGAAACUACAAGACUAGAGUGUGGCAGAGGGGGGUGGGAAUUCCACGUGUAGCAGUGAAAUGCGUAGAGAUGUGGAGGAACACCGAUGGCGAAGGCAGCCCCCUGGGUUAACACUGACGCUCAGGCACGAAAGCGUGGGGAGCAAACGA
rnacentral:rRNA from 1 species